UUAAAGGGCCGCGGUAUUCUGACCGUGCGAAGGUAGCAUAAUAAUUAGUCUCCUAAUUAGAGGCUUGUAUGAAUGGUCGGACAAGAUGGAAACUGUCUCAAUACAAUAAAUAAAAUUUAAUAUUUAAGUAAAAAAGCUUAAAUAAUAUGGAGGGACGAUAAGACCCUAUAAAGCUUUAUGUUAUAUCUCUUUAAUAUAAAUUAUAAUAUUAUUAACUUAUUUUAGAAGAUAUAUCAUUUUACUGGGGCGGUAAAAGUAUAUUAAAGAAUAACUGCUUUUGUUUUAUGUAACAAUUAUAGUUGAAAAUAAAUUGAUCCAUUAUUAAUGAUCACAAGAACAAGUUACUUUAGGGAUAACAGCGUAAUUUUUUUUGAGAGUUCUUAUCGAAAAAAAAGUUUGCGACCUCGAUGUUGAAUUAAGGUUACCUUAAGGUGCAGUAGUUUUA
rnacentral:rRNA from 1 species